CAUCAAAAACCAAGUCUCUAAGCAAUGGAUGUCUUGGCUCCUCACACGAUGAAGAACGUGGCAUAAUGUGUUAAGUAACCGGAGUUGCAAACAUCAUGACAGGUUAAUCUUUGAAUGCAAAUUGCGCUAAACUCGAUCUCGGUCGAGAAGCAUGGGUGUGACAGUACUACAUCUUUUAUAAUAAUUCUUAUUCUAAGCGAAUAAGUAAAUAAUAUAUAAGACAAACAACACGUAGUCUGCCAUACGCAGGAAGACCCGCUGAACUGAAGCAUCUCAUUAAGCGGAGGAAAAAGAACUAACUAGGAUUCCCUUAGUAAAGGCGAUCGAAAAGGGAACAGCCCCACGUCUUAAUCCCGCAAGGGGAAUGUAGUCGGGUCACCUAUUGCACUGGUCUAAGUCAGAUGGAAUGCUGCGCGAUUCAGAGUAAAAGCCUCGUAUGACCAACGCAAGCUUACGAUGGACCGGGGAGAG
rfam:Trichomonas vaginalis G3, whole genome shotgun sequence.